GAGGAGCCCGCGCCCGAUUAGCUAGUUGGUGAGGUAACGGCUCACCAAGGCUAUGAUCGGUAGCUGGUCUGAGAGGAUGGCCAGCCACACUGGAACUGAGACACGGUCCAGACUCCUACGGGAGGCAGCAGUGGGGAAUCUUGCGCAAUGGGCGAAAGCCUGACGCAGCGACGCCGCGUGGGGGAUGAAGCUUUUCGGAGUGUAAACCCCUUUCGACCGGGACGAAUGCCCGCAAGGGAGUGACGGUACCGGUAUAAGAAGCCCCGGCUAACUACGUGCCAGCAGCCGCGGUAAGACGUAGGGGGCCAGCGUUGUUCGGAAUUACUGGGUGUAAAGGGUCAGUAGGCGGUGUGGCAAGUCGGGAGUGAAAUUUCUGGGCUUAACUCAGAACCUGCUUCCGAAACUGCUGUGCUGGAGUGUGGGAGAGGCGCGUGGAAUUGCAGGUGUAGCGGUGAAAUGCGUAGAUAUCUGCAGG
rnacentral:rRNA from 1 species